GAUGAACGCUGGCGGCGUGCUUAACACAUGCAAGUCGAGCGAGAAGACUUUGACGGAUCCUUCGGGUGACGGAUGAGUUGGAAAGCGGCGGACGGGUGAGUAACGCGUGGGCAACCUGCCCCAUACAGGAGGAUAGCCACUGGAAACGGUGAUUAAUACUCCAUAAGACCACAGUAUCUCAUGAUACAGAGGUAAAAACUCCGGUGGUAUGGGAUGGGCCCGCGUCUGAUUAGCUAGUUGGUAAGGUAACGGCUUACCAAGGCGACGAUCAGUAGCCGACCUGAGAGGGUGAUCGGCCACACUGGAACUGAGACACGGUCCAGACUCCUACGGGAGGCAGCAGUGGGGAAUAUUGCACAAUGGGCGAAAGCCUGAUGCAGCAACGCCGCGUGAACGAUGAAGGCCUUCGGGUUGUAAAGCUCUUUCGUCGGGGAAGAAAAUGACUGUACCCGAAUAAGAAGGUCCGGCUAACUUCGUG
rnacentral:rRNA from 1 species